GAAGAAGUCGAAGAGGAAGAAGAAGUCGAAGAAAAGAAGGAGGAUGUCGAAGACCCGGUACACUUCACUAGGUUUCUGGGCAACAUGACUCGCCCUCUUUCAGCUUGCCCAUUCCCUCGUUUUCGACUCUUCCUAUAACCACACUUUCUUGCUUGCAUCGAUGAGGCACGACAAAUUCAUUAGAAACGCCCCCCCUAGCAGUUGUCUUCUCCAAAUCAAGAUAUUUGCUUGAGAGGCAUUUCAAAGGUGGAUCUGGAGCCUCUGCAGCCACAGUAGCUAGUGCAGUCGAAUCUAUUGACAACGGCCAUGGCGGCGGGAGUCGUCUUCUGAGUAGAGCAGUCGAUUUAGGAGGAAAAUUAGGGUUUUGUAGGCUUUUAGAUGAAGGGAGGGAGAAGAAGUAAUGCG
rnacentral:sRNA from 1 species